rnacentral:rRNA from 1 species
GGAGGAAAGUAGGGGAUCGCAAGACCUCACGUUAUAGGAGCGGCCGAUGCCCGAUUAGCUAGUUGGUGGGGUAAAGGCCUACCAAGGCGACGAUCGGUAGCUGGUCUGAGAGGAUGAUCAGCCACACUGGGACUGAGACACGGCCCAGACUCCUACGGGAGGCAGCAGUGGGGAAUUUUGGACAAUGGGCGAAAGCCUGAUCCAGCCAUGCCGCGUGCGGGAAGAAGGCCUUCGGGUUGUAAACCGCUUUAGUCCGGGAAAAAGGGGUGCGAGGAUAAUACCCUUGUGCUUUGAUGGUACUGGAAGAAUAAGCACCGGCUAACUACGUGCCAGCAGCCGCGGUAAUACGUAGGGUGCGAGCGUUAAUCGGAAUUACUGGGCGUAAAGCGUGCGCAGGCGGUCUUGUAAGACAGUCGUGAAAGCCCCGGGCUUAACCUGGGAACUGCGUUUGAAACUACAAAGCUAG